rnacentral:rRNA from 1 species
UACGGAGGGAGCUAGCGUUGUUCGGAAUUAUUGGGCGUAAAGCGCGCGUAGGCGGCUUUGUAAGUUAGAGGUGAAAGCCCGGGGCUCAACUCCGGAACUGCCUUUAAGACUGCAUCGCUUGAAUCCGGGAGAGGUGAGUGGAAUUCCGAGUGUAGAGGUGAAAUUCGUAGAUAUUCGGAAGAACACCAGUGGCGAAGGCGACUCACUGGACACGUAUUGACGCUGAGGUGCGAAAGCGUGGGGAGCAAACAGG